AUUAUUGCAGGAUCCGGACUCUUAUUAGACGUGUUCAAGAGGAUCUCAGGUUGUAUUACCAAAAAUUGACUUGAAACCACAUUUUACUAAAACAUUGAGGAAGGGGAUGGAGACGAGAUUGUUGCACCCAGGUGUCUCUUGACUGACUGACUCCUUCGACACUGAGAAGGAGAUCCGCUACCUGGAGCUGGCUGAAGCUGAGUUUUGGUGACUCUCAGUUGCACUACUGCGAGGUGAUGUUGAAGUGGAUCAACCAACACAUUAAAACAAGACCUGAACUACUCAGAGGACGACUUUCUGAUGGAAGAAGUACAGGAACGCUUUUGUUACGCUUAGGAGAGAUUGUCGUCCUGGAGACUGAGUCAAUUGAUAAGAGUUUGACUCCAAGUACCUACAAGAAAUAUUUUUGUUACUGGAGUUGAUAAUUUUCAAUAUGCUUCCAAUGGGGAGGAUCUACCAGAUGCUGGAAAUGUUUUCCCUUCUAAGGCCCCACUAUUGAGUGUAAUUUACAAGAAUUUAGUGUUUUUAAACAGAAAGGUGCGGGAGCACCAAUUGAAUGUAUAAGUUACCUAAAUAAAUUUACAUUUCGUACAUAA